rnacentral:tRNA from 1 species
UCCGAUGUGGUGUAGUGGCUAUCAUACUGCGCUUUCAUGGCUGCCAAGCGAGGAAGUGCCGCAGGGAUCGGGGUUCGAUUCCCCGCAUCGGAG